AUUGAACGCUGGCGGCAUGCCUUACACAUGCAAGUCGAACGGUAACAGGUCUUCGGAUGCUGACGAGUGGCGAACGGGUGAGUAAUACAUCGGAACGUGCCUAGUAGUGGGGGAUAACUACUCGAAAGAGUGGCUAAUACCGCAUGAGAUCUACGGAUGAAAGCAGGGGAUCGAAAGACCUUGUGCUACUAGAGCGGCCGAUGGCAGAUUAGGUAGUUGGUGGGAUAAAAGCUUACCAAGCCGACGAUCUGUAGCUGGUCUGAGAGGACGAUCAGCCACACUGGGACUGAGACACGGCCCAGACUCCUACGGGAGGCAGCAGUGGGGAAUUUUGGACAAUGGGCGAAAGCCUGAUCCAGCAAUGCCGCGUGCAGGAUGAAGGCCUUCGGGUUGUAAACUGCUUUUGUACGGAACGAAAAGCCCUGGGUUAAUACCCUGGGGUCAUGACGGUACCGUAAGAAUAAGCACCGGCUAACUACGUGCCAGCCGCCGCUGUAACAC
rnacentral:rRNA from 1 species